rnacentral:rRNA from 1 species
UACGGAGGGUGCAAGCGUUAUCCGGAUUCACUGGGUUUAAAGGGUGUGUAGGCGGGCUGUUAAGUCAGUGGUAAAAUCUCCGGGCUCAACCCGGAAACUGCCAUUGAUACUAUCAGUCUUGAAUACCGUUGAGGUGGGCGGAAUAUGUCAUGUAGCGGUGAAAUGCAUAGAUAUGACAUAGAACACCAAUUGCGAAGGCAGCUCACUAAACGGUCAUUGACGCUGAGGCACGAAAGCGUGGGGAUCAAACAGG